GAUUCAAAUGCUCCUGGGACCUCCGAGGCUUCCUGGUCAUUCUGUAGCUGCUGGAUUUGUUUUCACCUUGCAAAAUGGAUUGAAGUGCUUUUCACCAGAACUCCUCGCCCUUCUGCACGGGGAUCGAAGAGCUACGCUCCUUGGUUUGUGUGACAGAAUGACCGCAGGUGCUGUAAGAAAGCAGGAAAUCAUCUUUGUAAAGCUGUCCAGAAAGCCUUGAAUUCAGGUACAAGCCUCAUGUUUAUAGGAACAUAAAAGGAACCAUGGAAACUAAAUAUAGGUCGGAGCACCCGCAAGUAGAAAAAGAAUCAGGGAUUGAAAAGUUACCCAGAUUUCUCUGCCUUUGGGUUUGCUCUGCUGGUUUCAGACUCGUUUGGGGUCCUAGGCUCUGUAGGAGUCUUUGGGAUCCAUGUAAAGAAGGAAUUUCUGGGGAAAGCAGCUGACAAAAGAUCUCAUUUAAAUCCUGGCUGUGCUUUGGUCCUUGGGCUUAUCGUUGAGGGCUUGUUCCACCAGGGUCCCAUGCUGUUCGGUCCUAAGUGAGCUGCUGCUGGUUGUGGUGUUCCUGUUGAGCCCCAGGAGAGGUCAGAUACCCGGAGAGGAUUUGAGAGCUUUACAUGUGUUGUUGACCUGGACCCUUACACUUUGCUCCCUCCUGUUCCCUUAUCUAGAGGAUUAUCCCACGGAGUGCUUCGUGCCCUCCUGGGCUCUUAGCAGAGAUUCAGCUCCUCUGCAGUCCCCAGCUUCAUCACAGGAAGCUUCUUCACCUCGCUGCUGCCAGCAUGCUUUUGGCGACCCUGAGUGUCCCGUCAGCUGUUACAGGCCAUUAAAGGAUUUGUUUCUCGGCGUAUGAAAAGGCUUAAUUCAAUUCUCAUUCUCUCCUGGCAUUCCUCAGAGGUGAGUGCGUCCCCUCGGCACGAAUCCUCCGAUGCCGCUAAUUGACUUGAAAGUAGCUCAUGUCUCCUUGGAAAUGUCACCCAGCCCUUUUCAAGUGCAAUUCCAGGCAAUCAGGAUCAAUAUGUUGCUUUAGCUAAGGGUAUUAGCACAUGACUGACAGCCCUGCGACAUUAGCUUAUUCAUAUGGACUUCCAGAUGCUCAUUUUUCUUCGCUGCCUCAGCUGCAAUCCCAGUAAGAGGGGACAGAGCUUGGAGUGGAGCCAUUACCUGGGCUGUGUUUGUUCACAGCACGAUGGUGGGUACGGUGCUGGCUCUUGCACACCUGCCCUAAACCUACACAGUGUUCCCAUCCCUCUCCUUCCUGGUGAGAUCAAACCGUGCUGCCCCAUCCACUUGUUCCUUGUGUCAUGGCCUUGAGAUGUUUCCGAGCGGCAGGGGCUGAGUUUUCAGCCUGUGUUAAUCAGCGUGGUGCUUUGUUUGAUACGAGACAAGGUGUUGGUGUAUUUUUGCUGUACCUUUGCACAGAGAAUAUUGUCAGUGCAAUUAUCCCUCCUCAGAUCUCUAUCCCUUUGUGCUCCUCUUGAGGCUUGGGUCCACAGCUGAAGAUUUCUCUUGCUUCCCUUGUUGUGUGGUGAUGGUCCUGUGGUCCUGGCGUUAUUUUGAGCCAACGUUUGGGUUUCUGAUUUCUGUCUUUCAGCAAGUACCCAUUGUUCCCCUUUGUCUCAAAAAUGUCUGCGAAUUUGUCUUCCCAGCAGCUCUGUGAGGAAGGGGAGUGCUGCUCUCUCUGCUUAGAGGUAGGUGGUGAAAGCAGCGGUAAAAGGAAUUGAGAGGAGCUUACAAAAGAACUCGAGGCAGUGCUUCUGUGAGUGAAUUCAAUAUGGGCCCAAGUGCCCUCUGCUCUUCUUGCCCUCUUUAACGAGGCUGGCACAGCUAAUGUCAUUGCACUGCUCCUCUCUGGGGACAGCUCGCACCCCUUCUGUACCCAGCCAUGCCUCUUUGCUUGGGAGGGAGAGGGAACCUUAUCCCCUGGUUCAGGAAACCCUGACCCAGGGAACAUAGCAGCAAUAUUCAGAAGCAGGUUAAAGAAUAUUUCAGGUUUUUCAAAGGAAGAAACUGAGAUGCUGGGAAGCCAAGUGCCAUGUCCUAAGUGAGACGGUGUUUCUCAGAAGCGAUUCCUCCGAGUGCCUGCCUCGCGGCUGUUGGUACUCCCAGCUCUCGAGAAGAGCUGCUCCCUGGCAUCAGAGCAGGUUGGAGCCGCAAGGAAGAAACCUGAAGUUAGCUCCCAAGUGGCAAAUAUUAACAGAUGUGGGAACGAGGUGUGCUGUGCUGGAGGACUGGGAAAACUUGGAGGGGCUUCUGUGCCAUGCUGUGACUUUGAGCAUCUCCCUUGCAGGGCUGGUGAAGGCACGCGGUGUACUGCAGUCUGGGGCUCGAAGCUGCUGCAGAGCCAGAGGUGGGGAAUCUGUGUCAGGGAGCUUCUGAGAACAUGUUCCCAAAAGACACAUCAAGAGAUAAACAAGCAAGACUGGAAAACUACUUUUAAUCUGUGAUGCUGCCUGGAUACCUGCAGAUGUCUCGCUGAAUGCUGUGCCCUUUGAAAUUCGUCAGGGUAGUCAGGAAGGGGUUAACAUGUUUGCCCUGUGAAACAGCCAGAACGAGUGCAUCCGAAACUCUGGCAAUCAGAGGCAAGCAACAAUUAUUAACGCCUCGGCAUUUAAUGUGGCAGAUCGCUUCCGCCCCCAGUUACAUCGUGUGUUCAAUUCCAGAGCACUCGGAGUUGUCAGUCAGCAGGUCCAUAGAUCAUGGCGACCUUAGCAUCAUGUCAAGGGGCUUCACUCCAUCAGGGAUAAUGAACAUCUCCCACCGGUUUCUUCCCAUCAUUCAUUUGAGAUCCAGAAGUUCAUCAUGCAAAUGACAAACAAUGUUAAUUUUCUGCAAAUAAUUCCUCCAGAUGUCCGUGGGACUCCAGCGCUCCUCGCCCAGAACAGUAAAAUAUGUUUGUCUUCCUCCCUAUAAUUCAUCACUAGGCCUGCAAAUCUCCACGAACUCUCUAUAAACAAAGCAGGAGGCAGAGCACAGAGCCUGAUAGUUCGCUGCAGUGCAGACGUGCCUCGUGCUCUCUCAGCAAUGCACGUGGGAGAAGGAGUGGAGAGGUGGAAGAGGUCAAGAAGUUUCUUCUCAGCUGAGUUGACUUUGUGCUCAGCCUUGCAAAUGUACGCGUGAUGGUCUGAGCCAAGCCUCACACAAAUGCGAGUCAACGUGAGAGGAGAAACUCGAAUAUUUCUGGACUUAAAACGACUGGCCUUCAGGAACAGCUGGAUCUCCAGUGAAACCUGCUGCGAGCCUUAUCUGCGUCACUAGGAGACUUGCCAUCGGAUGGCGAGGCUUUGCCGUGGCUCUGUAUUGAGCUGCUCUCGGAUGGGUAGUGAGGCAAAUAGGCAGAGCUUGCUUGGUUUCUCCAAGCAUCUCUCCAGCUCCCUGAGCUCCAGAUCCAGCCAAAAAUAUAUGAAGAGCUGAAAUCCAGGGUGGUUUGGGCUACAGAGCAUAAGAAAGAGUUUUGGCUUGGACAAGUACGAAGAUGACGCAGAAAUUAGUUCCAGCAAGUACAUCUGGAACAGGGCAGACCCAUGAUGAAGCAGCCAACAAAACAGUUGUUGGUUUUUUUGUUUUUUUUUGUUUUUUUUUUACUCACAAGAUGUCAGCGGGCAGGUAGGACAAAAAUACCAAGAGGAUGGUGCAAAUCCAGAUCCAAAGCUCAGGAGAUGCUGUAUGCGCCCAGAUUUGCCACUCCUGCCCCUACUCCUGCCAGCCAUUAAAUGGCAUGGACCCGCUCCCUCCCCUGCUGUCCUUCUCACUCUGGAAGGGUUUUUAAAGGUCCCUCUAAGCGGCAGCUGCUGUGUGGCUUUUUGUUUUUUGUUUUUCUUUUUUUUUUUUUUUAUGAUGAGCUGGAAAUUAAUUUCCUUUUUGCUGGCAUUGGACUAUCUGUUCCCACGUCGCAGUGCAGAAUGAGCUCGUAACUCUCUUGACUGCCUCAUGGCUGAGUUAUGGGGUCUUCUGUAGUGCAGCCCAAAGGGUUUAAUUUAAGUACGGGUGUCUUGAAGAAAGCAGAGAAGUGACAACUACCUAGUGCUUUUGCAGUCCAUACACUUGGAAACUUUUACUACUCCUGGACUGAAAGGGCUCUUGUUUUAAAUUAAAAUUAGGAUUUCUUGUCCUUCCCACAGCAGUGCUAGGAACAGGUUUUCCCCCUAUUUCCUUUUUGCUUGUUGGGAGAUGUAACCACGUCUUCAGCUUUCCGUCUUCCCUUGCCAACAGUCUCCUACAGAUUUCCAGUUGCUGUUGUCUGUCUCCUUUGGACUGUCUCCAGUUGUUCAUAUGGUCUUGGAGCUCAGCAUCCCAAGCAGGACAUUAUGCUCCAGCUGAGACCUGAGCAGCGCAGAAGACGUGCGAGGAUAAUCCAGACCACUUACGCGUGACAUCUUCGUCUGCUUUGAUCUUGGUUGCCCUUGGCAUGAUCUUGAACUUGUUUUGGGGCAAGUGGGGUGAAGUGCUUUGGUUACUGUCUGGGCCACCUGUUGGUGGCACCUCAUUGCCACACAUGGGCACUAAUAAGACCAUCUGCUGCAGGAACCCGUGCCUCGCAUCAGGGAUGCUCGGGUGAGCUAAUAGGAACGGACAAAAGACACAGCCUGCUUGCGGGACCCGAUGGUCAUUAACCCCUCUGUGGAUGUUCUCCAUGUAGGCUACUUCGUGAGACUGUUUGCAGGGCGCUUUAAUAGGCGUGCAAUGCCUAUUAAUAUGCAACCUGUGUUGAGUCACACCUUAGCUGAUUCGCCUUAGCUUUCCCAGCUGUCUGCUUGCUGACAGAUUGGUGCAGUGUGGGCAGCUUGUCUGGCAAGUCUAGAGGCUGGAAGAGCAACCAGUAACUUGGAUUUAACCCUUCUUGCUAAAUGCAUUGCUGUCUCUCACCUCCCUGAGGCUAGGACUAACAGAAUUGGCAAGUGAUCCCUUAUCCUUGCUUUCUUAUCUCUUAUAUACCUUAUCUUUUGCCUUCUGCAGGCUCCAUGCUGUCAGCUCUAUGCUUCCCGAUGGCCUUUGGCUCUUCACAAACAGCAGAGGCUAACUGCAGGUCCAGGACUUCCUCAAAAUCUGUCCUGGCCUGGCUGUGGGUGGCAAGAGUUGCUGGCAAGCUCUGCCUGGAUGGUCCCCCAGACCUGCAGGACUUGGGGCCAGGCCCUGGAUGUGACACCAGGGGCUUUGCUGCCUCUUUGGUGUUCUUUCUGUAUGGGGGAAAUUAGUGGAGUUGUGUCCGCUGGAGCACUCGUCUACUCCACAGAGAAGUGGAGGAGCCAUGGGGGAAGAAACAAACUCCUCAUCUCAUCCUUAGCUCUGUCUUUUUGUGCUUUCUACUUACAGCUAUCAUAACUACCAGAUUUCUUUUUUUUUUUUUUUUUUUUUUUUUCUCGCAGCCCUUCUUUGCUCCCCUUAUUGAGCAAUAGCAUCUUAACAGCACUCUCCUAUGGCUUUGUCCCUAAUGUGACAGCAUCUAAUCCUGCAUCGUUUGUUCAGCUGAGUGGGUCACUGGUUUUACUGCUUGCGUGAAGGACAGGGUAAAGAUCCAAAUGCAGUUCAGGGGUUGGGCUGUCUUGGGCUCUUCUGAGAGGAGGACUUUAUUUUUACCAGCUUUGGCAUGCCUUGACUUUGGGGUGUGGAAAGCAAAAGUGAGCUGUGUGGCUGUGGAACAGGAUGGCAGAAACAGUCAUAAGCAGGACAGGACUUGAUCCUGGCUUGCCUGGCUAACCCAGCUGGAGCCAGUAAUGAGGGCAGGUUCAGCUGAUUGUCUGUCUAAAGACAGAAUGAGAUGCUCAAGUUGUCCUCCUUCUGUUCAGGAGUGGGCCUAAACUAGAGAAAGGUCUUCAGGUUUUGCCAGAACCCUAUACCAUCUUAGCAGUAAGGAUGGAAAUGCAUUUUUACUGCGAUGCAUCAGUGUAACUCCUCAGGAGAUGCUUAAGUACAAGAUGUGCUUUUGAUUUAGCUUCUGUCUAAGUGAAAAUGACCUAAGAGAACCUGUGAAAAACCUAAUGUUACCAAGGAGUUCAGCCCCAAACGUGGAAGUAAAUCAGUAUAACCCUCUUGGUUUGCCUUUACCAGUCUGCCAGGCAGUCAUCUAUUUCUGUCUUGGCUUAGACUCUGCAGUCCAAACCCUGACACGUUCUGUGGGACAGCCUCCCUCUCAACCUCAGCCUUGUCUCCUGCAGUCAGGUGAUUAGAUGAGACUCUCUUUCAUGUAAGUACUUUUUUAUCUUUCUCAUCUGUGGAGGGAAGCCAGCACAUGUCAUCUUUAAAGGCAAGGAAAAUGGAACCAGCAUUUUGUAUUCCAGAAAUCUCAUUAUUUUUCAACUAAUAUGCUGAUUUUGGAUGCCGGGGUUUGGCAGAGACACUGAGGGUCAUUGCUGAACAAAGCAGAAGCGGGUCCAUCCUGGAGAAGCCUGCAUGGGUAAAAUAUGCAAUUUCUAUACCAGCGGAAAAUGCGAUUCUCCGGGUCAUGUCAGAGCGAGGCACUGUGGGUAGCUUCCCUCUGACUCAGGCUUGACGCUAGAUUUCACAAGAGGAAAAAGUGUGUUUAAGAAGUUACUUGAUACUGAUCUGUCCAGAGUGUUUUUCCCAGGCUGGAUUUAGGGAGGGAUUAUCUCAGAUUUUCAUUUAGUUCUGAAAUCCUGGGUAUUGGUUUUAUAAAUUAAACCCCCUUCACAGCAGGUCGCUUGUUCUGUAUUGUUGUUUUAGUUUGAUGCAUAGGGAGGAAUUUAAAUUUUCUGAAAGGACGGGGCUUGCUCCUUGCUGGGGUAAAGCAACAUAGUUCAAAUAUUUAAAGGCAGAUGCAUCAAUCCUGGCAGCUGAGGAUCUGGCUUACUUUGAUUAAAAUCUGAUCAAGAUUACUCAGCCUUACCAAGGGACUUGGAUUACCAUUCUAUAAAAAGAAGAGUAGGAGAGGAGAGGACAUUAAAUAUAAAAAUAAUCCAAUGAAGGACGUGAAGCUAAACUCACUGCAAAUUGAACAAUAAUGAAAACAUCCUACUGAAACAGGUGGAGGGCAGCAGUGCUGAUGGGCAAACGCGAGGCUUGAAGUUAAAAAUAUUGCUCUUGGGUUUCUCAUGGCCAUGGCCUAGUCUUUUAAAGGUAGAUUUAUUUUUUUAUUUUUUUAUUUUUUCAGAAGAGAGCCUUGCUCAUUAGAAAAUCCCCAGGGGAGCAUUGCAGGAGAUAUGGGUGACAAAUCCUUUGGAAAAAUCCUUGCCUCUGCUUCCUCAGGGGACCCAGGAUGGUGCCAAAUCUCACUCACAAAGAGGUGAUUGAAGCUGGGGAACAAAAAAAAAAUCAACUCUUACAGGGGGAAAAAAAAAAUGCUCAAAUGUCAGUGUCUGAACUGACCGUCAAGAGACCAAGGCAAGGACCAGCUGCUCCUCUCUCUGUCUCUGCGAGCAGGUGCCUGCAUACAUAUAGCCACAAACAGACACUUCAGAGCAGCAAGUGCUGGUGUGUCUGGGAAGGCGGCGAGGAGGGGGCUGGCCGCAGGAGACCACCUACCCACCCUCAAACAAAAUGAGCUGCUGCUGGGGGAUGUGGCCUGGGUGGACCUUGGUGGCCAGAAAUAGCUCCUGCAUCUCCAGGAGGCCGCAGAUGGAUAGAAAGGAACAGGGAGUCAAGCACCCCUGAAGUAAAUGGAAUAAAGGAUGCGCUGUGGCACGUGCUUACCUUCUCUCUUUGCUGAGCUGAAGCCCUGCAGGUAUGUAGGAUAUGUUAUCCACCGGGCUGACAGCACCUCCUGGGACUUGACCUCACCAGGUAAAUCAGAGAAUUCCCCAAAAUGGGUCUGGCCAGCUGGGCUGUGCUCACAUGGUGAAGGGAAGAUGGCUGUUUUCCAUUACCAGGGCUUUUGGCUGCCUUGAGGCUGGAAAUGGUAAUGACUGGGUCUGUGCAGGUCCUAAACGAGCCCAUGGACUGCCCGCUCUGCCCCUAUACAGCUUGUGGGGCCACUUCUCCUGCACGGGGGUCAGCGGAUGGGGCUGCGCUCAGCCUUGCCAGCUCCGUGACCUUUGCCUGGCCGCGUGCCGUGCUGGCCGCUAAUUGUUCCCACCCUGGGGAGCAGCGGUCAGCAAUGGGAAUUCCUGUCAAGAACGACUCCGGCUUCCACCCUGAAACAGCCUAAUUAGGGUCCCCUAAUUGGGGCACUGAAGGGAGCACUGUGCUCGCGCUGAGGCUGGGCAGGGUCUGGUGUGGAGCAGGAGCUGGUGGGCAGGGGGACAGGCUGGAGUGCUGCGAUUCAGCAGCCCGCUAAUGAUGUGCAAGUGGUACUGCUGCGAGCUCCCCAGGCUCCUCCUCUGCCUCGGGCUGCGUUCCUGGCACUUGCUGGCAGCAGCCUGCGAUGAAACAUCUUGCUGGAGGCUGAAGGCUCUGUCCAUGUGGCUGUGGGGGGAUCAGGAAGGGGGGAGAACUGCUCAGUGCAUCAGUGCUCCUCCUCGGAGCUGGGGAUGUCUCUUCUCUUUCAGGGAGUGUCUGGACAUGUCUGUAUGGACUCCUGAUGUGUGCAACACGGGGGGGGGUCAGGCCAGUGGUGUUAAUGCAGUGGGGCCUCAGCUUGGUCACUGGAAGAAAGGUGAGAAAAAAGCACACGGCCCACUUACAGAGGCUUGUCAAAGGCUAACGUGCCUUCCUGGCUGGCUCUCAUGUCAGACAAACAGGUCUAAAUCCUUCUCCCACUUGUACUGAGUGCGGUGGGAUCCAUGAGCUCGUAUCUCCUAUGGCUCCAUGGCUUGGGUUUAAGAUUCUCUGGUGUCUAGUAAGCUGCUUGUGCUGAAUGGAGCAUCUGCCCUUCCUGGGAUAUUUAUAACGGCUUGCUCUCCCACGCAGAAUGUCUGGUGUCUAAUAAUGGAUGAUACACUACGGUUUUGAAGGUACUAAUAAUUUCCAUCCUCUGUUUGACAGUCUGUUCCCCUGAAAUUUAUAGACUCUGCCUGUCUCCGAGACCUCUGUCUCUCUGUCAGGACAGGUUGAAAUCUGUUCUCGGUGCCAGGAGUUCCUGGGGAGUGGGCAGGGGGCAGGCUGAUGUGGCAGGACUGCGUAUGCUCCGCAUCCCAUAGGAACUCAGGCUAAAAAUGUGCCUGGCUCUGCUUCCUGCCACCCUGGGGGGUGGUAGUGGCUCUGGUUUCCCAAUUGUGAGUUUUAGGAAGGCAAGUGGGCUGUGUGGGAGCAAGGCAAACCUCCAGGAGACACGGGCUGCCGUGCUGCGGGCUGUUCAUGAGCCGCACUUGGUGUUCCCACUGCCGGAGGGGCCCGUGAGCAGCAGAGCACGGGCUCUGCGGGAACAGCCCCUGAGGACGACAAACGAGUGAGCGCGGAGCUGCUGGCCGGCGUGAAGAAUUGCCUGGCUGAAAGAUAAUGAAUGCCGCGGCAGGAGACAGAGCAUUUCUCUGGGGCCAUUCAUCCCCUUUAUCACCCCACUAACAAGCCCCAGAGCGGCUGGCACGGAGCAGCACCAUCCCUCACCGUGCUGGCGGCUGGGUGCCGGCGGUCAGGAGCACCGCACGUGGCUCUGCAGGGAGCCGCGGACCUCACCCCAAAUAGCAGCCCCUGGCACGGCUGUCAGCAGGAGCAGCCACACGCUGUGCUGGCAGGGAGGGUGGUCCCUCCUUUGGGACCCCUGUGGUGCCACCAGAGAGAUGCAGGUGUCAAAGCCCAGCACCCAGCUCUUUAAAGCACUUCUGGGCAGCGAGGACGCUGCAAUACCCUUUGGAGGAUUGCUCUGUCCCAGCUCCCAGCUUGUCUGAGACUUACAGGGUUAUUUAUACAGCCCGACAGGAGUUUGGGGCUGCUGGCUAGGAGGUAAGUCAGUUCUGCUUCACUUGCAGCUUGUGCACGAGCCUCGUGAGAGGAGGAGAGGGCAGGAGUGAUGCGCUCUUCCUAAGAGCUAAUAAAAGCUAAUUCCUCCCUUUGCUCCGAGACGGUGGGAAGCAUUAGUGGCUGGCUGAGUGCCUCCCGCGCUGCGGCAGCGUGCUGGGUGCCUCCUUCCUCCCGGCUGGGAGCAAAGCCUGUCCCCCCGCCGAGGGGAAGGCAGCUCAGCAAGAGCCGCGUGGUCUGCGGCUGCGUGAGCGGGCACCCGUGGCGCUGCCUGUAGCUGGCAGCCCUCCUGCCAAGGUAAACUAGCCAAAUAACCCAGACAGGUGGCCAAGGGAGUGCAGGCGGUGGCCCCGUGGGCAAUUUCCCAGUUGUGAGUGAGCUCCUCUACCUCUGCUGCAGGGUUUGGGGUGGGAAAAGCACUGUUCCUGACCCCGCUGGUGUAUGAGAGGGCACGUGGGCAUGCAGCAGGGCUGGUUACCAGCAAUUGGAAGGUCUCUUUUUUUCUUUUCCCUCCUGCCUCCAUAUCCUUAGUUUCUCCUUUCCUUCCCAGUGUAAGGUGCAUUUUUUUA